rnacentral:rRNA from 1 species
GAUGAACGCUAGCGGCAGGCUUAAUACAUGCAAGUCGAGGGGCAGCACGGGUAGCAAUACUUGGUGGCGACCGGCGCACGGGUGCAUAACACGUAUACAAUCUACCUAUAACAGGGGGAUAGCCUUUCGAAAGAGAGAUUAAUACCCCGUAACACACGAAACGGCAUCGUUUUUUGUUGAAAGUUCCGACGGUUAUAGAUGAGUAUGCGUCUGAUUAGCUAGUUGGUAGUGUAAUGGACUACCAAGGCGACGUUCAGUAGGGGAUCUGAGAGGACUACCCCCCACACUGGUACUGAGACACGGACCAGACUCCUACGGGAGGCAGCAGUAAGGAAUAUUGGACAAUGGUGGCAACACUGAUCCAGCCAUGCCGCGUGCAGGAAGACGGCCCUAUGGGUUGUAAACUGCUUUUGUACCAGAGAAAACCUAUCUACGUGUAGAUAGCUGAUAGUAUGGUAAGAAUAAGUAUCGGCUAACUUCGUGCCAGCCGCCGCGGUAACAC